rnacentral:rRNA from 1 species
UGGGGAAUCUUGCACAAUGGGCGAAAGCCUGAUGCAGCGACGCCGCGUGCGGGAUGAAGGCCUUCGGGUUGUAAACCGCUUUCAGCAGGGACGAGGCGAAAGUGACGGUACCUGCAGAAGAAGCCCCGGCUAACUACGUGCCAGCAGCCGCGGUAAUACGUAGGGGGCAAGCGUUAUCCGGAUUCAUUGGGCGUAAAGCGCUCGUAGGCGGUCUGUUAGGUCGGGAGUUAAAUCCGGGGGCUCAACCCCCGUUCGCUCCCGAUACCGGCAGACUUGAGUUUGGUAGGGGAAGGUGGAAUUCCUAGUGUAGCGGUGGAAUGCGCAGAUAUUAGGAAGAACACCAGUGGCGAAGGCGGCCUUCUGGGCCAUAACUGACGCUGAGGAGCGAAAGCUAGGGGAGCAAACAGGAUUAGAUACCCUGGUAGUCCUAGCCGUAAACGAUGGACACUAGGUGUGGGGAACAUUCCACGUUUUCCGCGCCGUAGCUAACGCAUUAAGUGCCCCGCCUGGGGAGUACGGCCGCAAGGUUG